GAUGAACGCUGGCGGCGUGCUUAACACAUGCAAGUCGAGCGAACGGACGCGGCGCUUGCUUCUUUGACGUUUGCGGCGGACGGGAGUGUAACACGUGGAUAACGCACUUAUCAGUCUGAGAUAUCCUCGGGAAACGGGCGAUUAUCCCGUAUGAUCUUUUGAACCGCAUGGUUCAAAAGAGAGAGACGGUGUUGCUGUAUCGUAUAGAUGCAUAUGGGCUGCAUUAGCUAGUUGGUAAGGUACAGGCUUAUCAAGGGAACGAUGCCUAGCCGACCGGAGUGGGGGAUCGGCCACACUGGAACUGAAACACGGUCCAGACUCCUACGGUACGCAGCAGUAUGGUAUCUUCCGCAAUGGGCGAAAGCCUUGCGGAGCAACGGCGCGUGAGUGAUAAAGGUCUUCGGAGCGGAAAACUCUGUUAUUAGUGAAGAACAGAUGUGGAAGUAACUGUGCACAUCUUGACGGUACCUAAUCAAAAAGCCACGGCUAACUACGUG
rnacentral:rRNA from 1 species